rnacentral:rRNA from 1 species
CAGUAGCCGCGGGAAUACGUAGGUGGCAAGCGUUGUCCGGAAUUAUUGGGGGUAAAGGGCUCGCAGGCGGUUUCUUAAGUCUGAUGUGAAAGCCCCCGGCUCAACCGGGGAGGGUCAUUGGAAACUGGGAAACUUGAGUGCAGAAGAGGAGAGUGGAAUUCCACGUGUAGCGGUGAAAUGCGUAGAGAUGUGGAGGAACACCAGUGGCGAAGGCGACUCUCUGGUCUGUAACUGACGCUGAGGAGCGAAAGCGUGGGGAGCGAACAGGAUUAGAUACCCCAGUAGUCCCUGUCUCUUAUAC